CCCCCCUACAGUCUCAUUGUAACAACCUGAUACAUUCACAAGAAGCUUCUCAACAAAGGCCAAAUAUUAAAGUUUGUUCAAAUACAGGCCACUGACAUAGGCUGGGGAGGGAUGGAGUAAUUUAACUGCUUAAACCUUUCAAGUUAUUGGAAUGUAGGUGAGACCUCAAUGGUACUUAUCAAAAUUGAAGAAUGUUCCAACUUUCAACAAUAAAAGUUCUUGAAAGUUGUUUCCUAACUGCCCAAUCUGUGGAGAGUUGCACAUAAUAAAUCAUAUAUAUUACCAAGAAUCUUCUGCAACUAUCUAUCCAUAUGACAUGUCAAGUCUGCCUCUCCACUAAGGGCGGGGCAAAUUGCAAAAUUGGUUCGUAAACGUGCAUUUAAAGCCUUGGCUAAUUAAUUUUUCUCAGUCUCUCUGCCUCAAUCGACCAUCAACAAACACUGCUCUUAGCCUUUUUACCAUGGCAGCUGAGAUGCACCAAAAAGUGAAUCUAUCCGAUAAGAAAGGGUGUCUUAGCACCAGGAAUACUUGCCUUGCAUCAAAUUCACAGUUCUGACUUGGAUUCCUCAUCUUCUAAUGGAGUAUCGCUAAUGGUUUUUUGUGUUUCAGCAGGAGGUGCUGCCUGGUCUUGGGGAUCAAAGUCUUCACCCAAGAUCUUUGCAGUAACGCGUCUAGCUUCAUAGUCAAGUUCUGGCCACUCUGCCACUAUCCUCUUG
rnacentral:lncRNA from 1 species